rnacentral:tRNA from 1 species
GGGGGUGUAGUUCAAUUGGUAGAAUUCGUGUUUUGCAUAUACGAGGUUGUUGGAUCAUGCCCAACCAUCUCCA